rnacentral:rRNA from 1 species
UACGUAGGGGGCUAGCGUUGUCCGGAAUCAUUGGGCGUAAAGCGCGCGUAGGCGGCCCGGUAAGUCCGCUGUAAAAGUCAAAGGCUCAACCUUUGAAUGUCAGUGGAUACUGCCGGGCUAGAGUCCGGAAGAGGCGAGUGGAACUCCUGGUGUAGCGGUGAAAUGCGCAGAUAUCAGGAGGAACACCAAUGGCGAAGGCAGCUCGCUGGGACGUGACUGACGCUGAGACGCGAAAGCGUGGGGAGCAAACAGG